AUGGCCUCUGCCCAAUGCCCUCUCUCCAACAGGGAGCCCAGGAGCCAUCCAGAGGCCUCGAGGGGUGACGUCCUCGGGGGAGCAGGGCAGCCGGGCCAGCCCUGGACCCCAGGCUGGGUGGACAAGGCAGAGUUGGACAGUGCUGCCACGGGGACCUGGCCGCAGAGGGAAGACGGGCUCUGUCCGUCCGUGGCUGAGGACUGUGCCGUGGCCAUGGCCCAGCAGCCAGGUGGCCUGGGAGCACCUGCCCUCCUGGCCUGGUCCAGUAACAGGGAUGCUGUGGAGCCUGCGCUGCGGGGCAGGGCUUGCAGCCUGCCCGUGUGGUCCACUGACCAGGAGGCCAGGGGAGGGGGCAGCUCAGUGUCCUCUGGCCGUCUGUCUGGCUCCUCAGGAGGCCAUGUGUCUCGCGCCCCUCCCCACGGGCCCUGGAAGGAGCGGCUGCCCCGGGGGCUGGGGUCCCAGCGGCCGCCCAGAAAGAGUGACCCCAGGCUGGAGCGGCUGCGGGACCGGAUCUGCCAGCAGGCGCGGGGACAGGUGAGCUGCGCCUCCCUGGGCACCUCGGCCCCCUCCAGCGCCUCGCGCCUCUGCUCUGCCUCCACGCCAGCGCCCCGGAGGAGGACCUACAAGGUGACAGCCGCCCUUCCAGGCCCCGCACACUCAGGACUCAGCAUCCUCCGUGUGGCGGAGCCCCGAGAGGAAGACCAGGCGCCCCUAGGCGUGGGGCAGGAGCUCUCUCGGGCCACCCGGCACCAGGCUCCGGGUCUCCGGGACAAAGCCAGGAGGACUUGGGCCCGCUCCUGCAGAAGGGACAGGGCCCCCAGGUCACUCUCGCCCGGCAGAGCUGGCAAGGGCAAAGAUCCCGAGUCUGUCGGUAUUCGCGCCUGGAGGAGAGGACAAGAGCUGGCGCGGCUGCUGCUGGGGCCGUCUCCUGCCCGGCCCGCACGCCCAAGCACCAGCCCCUCAAGGGACCUGGGCCCUGCCAUGGCAUUAGGAGACAUCAAGAGGGCUUCGGCCACUGAGGGCUCAUCAGUCCACACCUGGCCAGACAGGCUCGCCUCGGCCGGCAGUGACCCUCAGGUGUCUGAGAACACAGCCAGCCUGGCUUGCCAUGGCCAGCGGGCAAUGAUCCACACCGCCAUGGCCAUCCUACAAGACCUCCGCCAGCAAAUCCAGGCUGGGCUGGAGCUGGCUCAGGGCCCUAGGCUUGAGCCGAAGCGCAGAGCGUCCAAGCUGAAGCCGCAGAACCUAGGCCAGCAGGGUCGCUGGAGCAUCCAGCUCAGGCAGGGCUCCUGCCCGAAGAGUCCCUGCGACGUGGUAGAGGGGACGCACUCCGCCCUAGACAGGGCCAGGCGCGCCCACCCCCAGCAGCCCUCGAGCACCUCGGCCAAGUGGGAGCCCUGUCCCUCGAGGGCCUGGGAAGCCGCAGGAUGGGACCCCUGCUUCCAGAGACCUCCGAGCCCCUCUGAGAAGCUGAGCCCCUGUGCUCAGGGGCCCUGGAGUGCCUUGCCCUGGCUGGCCUGUCCUCAGUGGGCCUGGGUGCAUAAUGAAGACUGGGAGGUCCCUGACCCCAGACCAUGGAGCCCUCUGGAACGACCAUAUCUUGCCCCUCAGCGCUCCUGGAGUGGCUCCUACUCAAAGAGAGCUAGGUCCCCCUGCAAGGGCAGAGGCGCCACCACCCCUCCCUCCAAAGCCAAGCAGGCCUGGCCGUGGAGCUUACAAGGGAAGGAGCUGGGUGCAGAGCCGUUCCCACCCCACCUGCAGCCCCGGGGGGCCCUGGGCCAGUCACACAGCUCGGAGGCCCUGUGCAACUUCCUGCACCAGAAGGCACAGGCGUGGAGGCAGCAGUCCCUGCAGCAGACGGUCACAAACACAGAUGCACUGGAACGGAGAAGCCAGAAGCUUCAAGAGGUCUACCGGAAGCAGCGGGAGGCCGUGCAGGGCAAGGCAGUCUCUGUGGUCUCCCAGACGAACCCCGGCAUCGUCACCUUCGUGUCCAGUUCUGCACAGUCUGGGGACCUGAAAGCCCCUGGGAGCCUGGAGCCCCCGGAACAGGAGUGGAGCAAAGUGACUUCGGGCAUGGUGCUGGGGAACCAGGAGGUACCAGGCAGCUUCUGUCUGUGUCUGAACAGAGCAUGGAACCGCCUGGAGACGCCCCUGCCUGUGUCUGCCACCUCCUCACUGGGCUCCGUAUGGCUCCAGGACCCAGGCCGGGGGCUGCACGUCUGCUUGGACCCGCAGAUGGCUGAGCAGCUGGACCUGUCGGGCCCACUGCACACACAGCACAAGCAGGCCCGGCUGCAGGCGCUGGAGACAAUGGCCAACGUCCUGCAGCAGCGCAUCGACAUCCUGACUGCCAAGCUGCACCGGAAUGAGGCGCCAGACAGCAGCCAGGACGCAGCUUCCGAGCUGAAGUCCCUGGGGCCCAGCACCACGCCCACUGCCCCGGCCUACCCUGGGGCUUCGCUGCCCAGGGGGGACAGAGGGUCACGCGGUGAUGACUUCCUGGAUGCGGAGCCACUUCUGUGGAGCCCAGGUGCCACGCAGGAGGGACGUUGGCAGCUGGAGCACAGGCUGCAGGGACACUCAUCUCCCUUCCAGGCCGCUGGCGCCAGCAUGGGGAGCAUGCUGGGGGUGCCUGCCGCUCCACACCCCACCUGUGGCUCCCCGUGGCUGGAGGAGAGGCCGGCGGCCAGAGGGGUGGGCUUGGUGACGCCCUGGACCCCCCGGAGCUGCGGUCCCCAGGAGCCUGGGGCGCCACGUCCCAGAGGCCGAGGUGGGCACCUCGCCGACUUCCAGCUGAAGUCCUUGAGAUUCCUCGAAUCACUGAAGCAGGACCCAGGACUUGGGCUGUCACCACAGCUGGAGCAGCGGCAGCAGCAGCAGGAGCAGGCCCUGGCCCUCCUGCGGCAGCGGGCAGAGGAGGAGGUCUGGGAGACACAGAUGGCCCUGGACGGGCUGCUCUUCAAGCACCAGCUGGAGCGGCUGUUGGAGAAACACAGGCCCCGCAGCUGGCUGGGAAGGGCUUCCAAGCUGGAGCAGCCACAGAUCCAUGUGGGCCCAGCGCCCACAGCAUCGGCCCAGAGCCCCGAGCCAGCCAAAACCAGGUCACCCCCAGCCCUGGGCAGAGACGUGACCGGGUCCUCCCAGGGUCCUGAGGAGGGGCAGGCCAGUGUGGAGGGCAAGUCGGCAUCUGCAGACACCCGCAGCCAGACGGCCGCUUCCGCCGGGAAUCGGGGCUCUUCGGUCACCGCUCCCGACAGCGCAGGACCCACAUCGCCCCCUCUGGCCCCAGUGUCCUUUCGGUGGAAGCCAGGCAGCAAGGCUGUUGUCCCAGGGCUGGCCACACCCGACCCAGGCUCCGCCCGGCUGCGCCCCGCCAGACUCUGCCCUCCGGACAGCCCUGCCCACCAGGGGAGCGCGGCGGGGACCGGGAGUGCUGAGCCCGGAGCCGGCAGGGUCGGUGUCCGGCCGUGUACCGCGGCGUUGGAGCAGAGCUUGCGGGAGGAGGGGCUGCGCGCUCAGCAUUGGGCCCCGCUGCUGCGCCUGCGCGAGAUGGCGCUGGAGGAGAAGGCGCGCGCCGAGCGGGCCUGGCUGGAGCACCAGCGAGGGUGUCUGGGGCGUGGGAGCCACCAAGCCACAAGGGCUGCCUUGUUGGAGAGGACGCAGGCCCUCAGCAGGCUGGAGAAGGAGUGGAGGGAGAUCCGGGACCUGCGGGACCUGCACAGGUCAGUGCUCCAGGGCAGGCAGCAGCUGCUGCAGCAGCAGGAGGCCACAGUGCAGAGGCUGGCGACAUUGCAGCAGAGUCCCAGCCCCCAAGUCAAGCCCACCUGGCAAGGAGCCUCUGAGACAGGCCAGCAGCUGGAAGGAGCCCUGUGCCCCCAGACUGCAUGGAGGCCUGGCAGCCCCGCCAGCCCACAAGCCCACAGAGGCCCUGAGAGUGCAGAGGGCGCACGCCUUGCCCCUGAACCGUGGGAGGAGACACCCCAGACACCUGCAGAUGCCGCCGGCCACCAGCAGCCACCGAGUCCGGCCUCAGGAGGGGACACAGCCGAGGCCAGCAGCCUCCCGAAGGCGGGAGGCAGCCACAUAGACCAAGAGCCUUGUGACCCUCAGCUGGGCCAUCUGCACUCAGGCUCGCUGGACCCUGGACAGCUGUUGGAUUCCACCUAUCCUGCCCUCGAGGCAAAGAGGGACAGCCCCAUAGCUCAGCUUGGGGUGCAGGAGGCACCGGAGCCGCCCACAGGGGACUCUCAGACCCAGGCCAGAGCCUGCUGGGCCAAGAAGAGACCCACGGCUCCGAGGGAUGUCAGAGCGCACAGCUUCCAGGGACAUCGCCUAUACCACCUGGGGGCAGAUGGUCCUCGCUGUCCCCAGGAAGCAAGUAUGGCUGAAGGAAGCACACACCAAGCUGGACUAGAUGUUGCUGGGAGCCCCGUGGGGGAGCCCCUGGAAGUGGCGAGCAGGCUGCCCAGGGAGCUGAGGACCGAGACCUGUUGGCAGGACAGCAGCAUCCCACUGGCCGCCUCCCCAGCUCUCCCUGUCUCAGCAGCUCCUGCGGCCCUGGAGGAGGAGGCGGCAUCCCCCACCCCGCCCAGGCCUGCUACCCCUGUGCACCCGGGCUCCGAGCCUGCAGCUGGGCUUUCCUGGGCGUCUCCGCGGUCCCCGGCGUCAUCCCCUCUGUCCUCAGCAGGCUCUGGGAGUGGCCUGGCCUGCUCCUCCCUCCAGGAGUUUCAGAAAGCCACAGCCACCCUGGUGCAGCUUUCUGACCGCUCGCUCUCCCCGUCCGGCCCAGAGGCCGAGGGCAGCCCAGGCACAGACCCCAGCUGGUCUGAAGAGCUGUCUGUGCCCGGGGACUUGGGCCCACCCUCGUCUUGGGGGCUCUGCCAGGGUGACCCUCAGUGGGGUGCUGUGCCGGGGGGUGCUGGGCUGACGACCUGGCCGGGGCUGGAGUGUGGCCAGGCUGCCCCCCCGCCUGGUGCUCCUAGGGAGGUGGCUGCGGCAGAAGACUUGGUCCCAGGGCGGAGCUGUCUGCAGACAGGCUGGCCACUGCCACCUCAAGAUGUCUGUUCUCCAAGGUCCGGGUCGGAGCUGUCAGAGGCCUCCAGCCAAGUUUGGGAUGAGGACAUUGAGGAGAACCUACUAGAACCCGGCCUGGUGGCCCAGCCCACCUCUGGGUGCUCCUCGCCUCCUGGCUCUUCCAGCUGGGAACACAGCAUGGUUGGGCCUGCCCUGGGCUCGGGGCAGGGACAGGAACCUUCUGAAACCAGCGAGAGCCUGAGUGGGGGGUCAAACACAGGGAGCCCUGAGCAGUUGUCCUCCGAGGCAGCCUCCACCAGUGACCUAGACCUGUCACUCUCAUUUCCUUCAGGGACUUCUGCAUCCAGAGGGGCUCGCUGCCAGGAGAGGGCCCGGGGGGCUGGCCCGAGCCUGUCCCCUGGAAGGAACCCCCCACAGGCCUCUCCAGGGCCUGAGGUCCCCUAUGGGCUGGCAUCCCUUGUAGCCGAGGGCCAGGCAGCUGGGUGUGCAGGGAAUGAGGCCCCCCAAGUCCCAGAGCAAGCUGGCCCCCCGCCCGGCACUGGUUUCCCAGCUGGGGCAUCGUCCCCUGUGGAUGAGGAGUGGCGGUGUGGCGGUGGGGACCUCCCGUGUGCCCCCUCCUGGGAUGCCCACCUCCCCCCACCGCCUUCCCCUCCCCCUGCAGACAGUCAUGGGGAUGAGGCCCAGCCCUGCUGCGAAGACUUCCCUUCCCCGCCCCAAGAGGCCAUGGUUCCCCAAGGCUCCCUGGGCCCCCUGGAGGAGGACAUCUCCAUUGCCACCCAGGACUUGUCCUUGUCCGAGGGGGCCCCAAAGCAGGCUCUGUCUCAGGGUUCCCAGGAGUUGGGACUUGAUCUGAGGGCAUCCUGGCUGUGCAGGGGCCCUGAGUGUGAACUGGGGGGGUUAGGAUCUGCAGUGGGGACUCAGGCCUCCAGUGGCCAGUGGUCUGAACAGAUCACCUGGCCAGAGUCGCCCUUGGGUGGAGGGGGAGGCAGUGUCCCUGGGGGGCUCCCAAGAGCACCAACAUGGCCCUCAUUCCCAUCCCGAGGGGGCUGUGUUGCCGGGGAGGGUCUGUCUGGGCUGUUGGUGGCUGGUGACCCCGAUGUGCUGAGUGUGGGACCCUGCGCUCUCAAGAAGGCCUUGGGCAGGUGCAUGGGACCCCAGGAUGGGCUGCAGUGCUUUGAGAGUACAGGGCGCCUGGGAGGCUCCAGCAGCUCCUCCGCCCCUCCCCAAGACCCGGUGCCCUUGGUGGCCCAUGGUCAGGCGGGGUCCCUGGGGCACACUGGUGAGGAGGGUGUGGAAGGCCUGAGCCACUGGGCAGAGGACUCAAUGGGCAGAGAGCUGCUCCCAGGGGAACACUCAGCCACUGGCCACCAGCCCCCGGGAUCCUGCUCUAAUUUCCUGGGCACAGAGAGGGACGACGCAGUGGCCGUGGUGUCCACCCAGCUCACCCAGAGGAUCCUGUUGGACUCCAUGGCUGUGUUGGCCCCUGGGGGCAGCCUCUAAACACUGCGAUGUCACUCUGUGACCGUGUGUGAGUGUGUGUGAGUGUAUAUGUGUGUGCGUGUGUGUGCGCAUACACACAAGAGCCUCUGGAAGCUAGCCGUUUCCUCCUGGGGUAGACGGGUCAGGCUGGCUGGCCAUCCACGGCCAGCUGUGCAGGAAGUCAUCUGACAGGGCGUCCGCUAUCUGCGAUUCUCUGCUUGUGGGCUGCAUGGCUUCCGGGUUCUCAAGGCCCCUGGCCCAAGUCAGAGAGCAGCGUGGCAGAGGCUGCGUGGGCAGCACAGAGGCUGCUGCUCAGGGCAGGCCGAGGAGCACUGCCCCAGUGGGCCUAGAGGACAGAGGGAGCAGACAAGACAGGGUAGGGCGAGGGCAGGAAGAGCCGGGGAGUGUGGAGCUGGCCAGGGCUGAGAGGAGACAGGACUUGCAGGGUGGCAGCUCAGGGCCUGCAGGUCACUUCAGCCCGGACCAGCAGAGCCUGGGGCCCUGGGCUUGUCCCCUCGGAUGGGGUCACUUCCAGCGUUGUGGGUGCCUCUGUCUCCGGUGGGCUCUCUGGGUCUCCCGGGCCCCCCUCCCUUUUCUCAGGGUCCCUGCAAGGCCACCCUGCCUCGUUCAUGUCCCAGUGAGCUCCGUACUGGGGGACCCUGAGUGGUUCUUUGGGGAGGGGGAACAUGGCUCUGUCCUGUGUCUCCUCUUUGCAGAGGUGCCCCCUUUCUCAGGACAGGUGUCCCGGGGAAGGCUGGGCUGUGGGCUCCAGCACCCAGCACCGCCUGUGUGGGGAGAAGCCAUGGGGCCGCCCCAGAGCCGCAGACCUACAGGGUCCCUGAGCGUCCCCGAUUCCACAAGCCUCUGAUAGUGCUCAGGUGUAUCUGGGAGGAGGGGGUGGGCCAGCCACAUCCCUGGGCUUCCUGGAGCGGACAGGUCCUGCAGAAUGGCCACCUGUGCUGGCUGUGCAGGAAGUCACCUUUGUGACCGUCCCCCAGGAAGUCCACCCACUUCGCUGAAGCCCAGCACGGAGCAGCGCCACAGCCACUAGUGCCAGGCUUGGAUCACCCAGGACCUCCCCAUCCACCCUUGCCCCGAGGCUAGGUGGUAGUGGGGAGUGGGUGGCAUGGGGCAUCUUAAAAUCUCAUGUGAGAGCACAUUUGGGCCUCACUUGAAGCUGCCGCAGACCUGUCCGGGGACCCAGCCUGGCAGGACAGCAGUGUCUGGGGCAGGCUGGCUGUGGGCGGGUGUCUGUGUGCUUGCUGCUUCUGUCCUGAACCUGUACCUGCCCUGCCCGCAGGGAAGCGGCUUCACACCAGCCCAGCGGCGGGUGCUCUCACCACAGAUGCAGCUUUCAGAUCUGCUUUCUGACUCCCAACCCAGGGUUUUCUGAGAGGACCUGGAGCCUGUGCUGGGAGCUCUCUGAGGCUACGCUCCAUUCCUGAGGCAGCACGCAUGUGUGUCCGUGUGUGUGUGUGUGUGUGUGUGUGUGUGUGUGUGUGUGUGUGCACACGCGUAUGUGUGUGUGUCACUCUUCUUCUAGCCAUCCCUGGUCAUUCACCAUCCAUAUACUCAUCUGUCUGUCUGCCUACCAGUCGGUGUGUCCACCGACCUUUACCAGCUCACUUCCAAAUCAUUACAAAUCAUUGUGUUGAAGCUGAACACAAGCCUGUAAUCCCAGCUACUUCAGAGGCUGAGGCAGGAGGGUUGCAAGCUCAAGGCUGGCCUGGGCAAUUUAGCGAGACCUUAUCUCAAAAAAUAAACAAAUACUAGAAGGGCUAAGGGUGUGGCUCAGUGAUAGAGAGCCUUUGCCUAGCUUAGGUGAGGCCCUGGGCUCCAUCCCCAGAGCGUCAAAAGCAAAGACAACCAAAAAGCCAAGUGUGGUGGUGCGUGCCUAUAAUCCCAGCACUGAGGAGGGUGAAGCAGGGGGAUCACUUGAGUUCAAGGCCAGCUUGAGCGACAUACUCAAUUCAAGACCAGCCUGAACUAUAUAUAUAGCGGAAAAAACCCAAAAGUUAACGUUAAAAACCCAGCUAGAACCCCAAAUGUGCCUAUGAGUUCCUUCCUGUAGCUCUGGCAGCAGCCGAUGUGACGGGAAAGGGUGAGGACAGGUGCUACACAGCCAGCGGCUUUGGAAAGUCUGUGCUGGAGCGCUCUGUGCAACACAGAGCUGGCUCAAUGCACAACUUCUGUGUUUUUAUGGAUCAGUUCAAAUUGAUGUUUAAAAACCCACUUGAAUAAAGACUGUAGACUAUGAAAGGAUUGUCGUCAGGAGAUUAUUUUCUCCUACUUCUGUACUGUCUGGUUUCCGUGGGUGACACUAUAUUCUAAACACUUUCUAUUCAGACAUCAUUCCCAUACCACGAAGCUCACCUCUUUGAGCUGUACACAUGAAUUUUAGCAUCCUUAGAAUAUUGAGUACGGGGCUGAGGAUUUAGCUCAGCAGCACAGUGCCUGCCUGGCAAGCACAAAGUCGUGAGUUCGAUUCCGGGUACAGGAAAAAAAACAAACCCCCCCCCAAAAAAAAGAAUAUUGAGUAAUUCGCCUGCAGCCCCCCACUUCUUGAAUUAGGUCCCUUCCUGGGUGGGUCCAGGUUGACAAGCAGCGCUGGCCAUGGAGAUAGUGGAGUCCAGCGCUGACCCUCAGGUCUCUGUUCCUCCCUCAGCCUCGGACCUGCACCUAACUGCACUUGGGGGCCGGGGACCUGAGCUUCCUGCCCCUGUGUGGCUUUAUUUUUAUGAGCAGGUGCUUGCAGUACACCAUAAGCACAUUCCUUGCGGGGAGUUGCCACCCGGCCAGGACACAUCUCAGUCCCUUCUCCUCCCCUUCUCUCCCCCCUCCUUCCCUUGCUUGGUCCCCUUCCUUUGUGCAAAAGACCUACCUCCCAGUUCCUAUUGUCCAUCCCUUGUCUUUAUUUAUACUUUGGAUUUCACAUAGAAGGGAAACCACGAGGCACCGAGCUUGUGCGUCUGACUUUUCUCACCGAGUGAGCAUUAGGGUUUGGUGGUCACCGGCUGUGUUGGGCAUGGCAGGAGCUGGCAGGGCAGAGGUCUGAGGUGCCAAGUCACAGGACAGGGAGCUGCCAGUGCCCUCUGGCCUGUCCCUCCGGCAAGGACCCUUGGGACACUUUUGGGGAGAGGCAGGGCCCCUUCCAGAGAGCUCCUCAUGGAGCCACAAUCUGCCACGUUUCAGGGACAGUGCUUGGCUCAGGGCCCUUCUUGGGCACCUGUGCCUAAAGACAAAUCUCAUUGAGGGAGGCACCAGCCACGGUGUCACCUGGUUCUUUCCCAGCUUUCCCAGGGCACAGAGCUCUGGGUCCAGUGGGGGAAAGUUGUCCCCUGUGUGUGUGACUUCACAUUUUGAGCUAUAGCUGUCUUAUUGAUUCCCUUCUAGUUUUCUGAGCAAAUUAGUCUGUAAUUUUUUAUUUUUUUUCUAUUUAUUGCUGACCCUUUUGGAUUUAUGAGGCCGUGUGAGAGGAAUUAUGUAUUUUACACACAUGCGUUUGGCACGGCAAUAAAUCUCUUACAUUGAAACUCUGCAGAUUUGCCUCAAAUUCAAUACCAAAACUCAAUCUCAUUGCUCGGGCUUCUUGCCAACAGCUCGCAGUGUUGGGGUACACGUAGGAGAACCAGGGUCUCCCCAGAAUGUUCUGACCUGGGAGCCUGGCAGGUAUAUCACAUUGCCAGAGUCAUUUUCGGCCUUGGCAUGGUGCCCUUGAAGGGAGGCUGGGCACAGGAACUAAUGGCAAAGCAGGCCAUGCCUCCUGUGACAGUGCUGGAGGGGGCCGGGGCUAUCAAACGGCUGUGGUGGGCGGAGGAAAAGUAUAUCCAUCGAAGGUGCUGGACACAUUUUAUGUCCCGACGUGUGCAGAGCCCGGCUCCAGCAUGCAGAUGCAGUGACCGGGUGAAGCUGUCCCACAGGACCCUCCCUCCAAGGUCUCCGGCUCUGAUCUUCGGUAACCACUCAGCCCAAUAAAUCCUGACACCAGUCUCGGGAGAAGUCAUUAUGUUUCAUAGAAAGUGGUUAUUUCUCUGUUAAACCCCACGUUUAAUUUUCCAGCGAUCUGUCUCUUUCUGCAUCCUGCUUAUUGCGUCCCUCCUGCAUAGAAAACCAUCCUGCCAUUGGCCUUUGUGCCCCACAUCCCACGUCACCAAGGGAGCCUCCCAGGUCCUUGGAUUCCCGUCCCUGCACAGCCACUCACACAGCCCACACCAAAGGCCACCCUUUCAGUUUACAGAGUGACAGCCGUGCGCUGCUGGGGUGCCAUGUCCACUGCUGCUCUCAAAAUUCUUGGGGUGAAGGACUGUAGAGGAUGAAGAAAUAAAGACAAGGAUCAGGAAGCAGAAAGCUAAGGUCAGGUGGAGCCCCCUCUCCAGAUGGGAGAAAGGAACUGCUCAAGGACUGCGGUGCAUUUACUUACACACUCGGCAGGUUGAUGUCACGUGCAGCCUCUGUCUAGCAACCUGCUUGCCUGGCUGCCUCAGGUUCUCUGUGUUCUCAGAGCUGGAACGGCUUGUUCAUGUGGCUGGCCUCGGGCGCUCUGCACGUGUGAUCAAUCUCCAGUUUCAGCCGAUCCCCACACUGGGGGACACGGUGGCACUGGUUCUGACACGCCAGCAUGCCCACACCCGGGGUGUUUGGUUGCUGGGGCUGGGAGCCGGGUAAGCUCACUUGCCUUCCAAAUGGGGCUGGCCCUGUGCCCAAGAUGCCCUGCCCAAACCAAACCAGGCUCAGGAAGUCAGCCUUUCCCAUGCUAGCACCCCAAGUGGCCUCUGGGACCCCAAGAAAUAUACAGAGCUCAUCCUUCUCCAGGGCCCUGUCCUGUUUGCCCACACCAUGGCAACCACGCCCAUCAAGCUGCUUUUCUGCAUUGCCCCCAACAACUGUCUCCCUUUGCGCCAGCUGAGGCCCCUCCCUGAUGUCCCAAGGACACAGAAGA
ensembl:lincRNA